UACGUAGGGUGCGAGCGUUGUCCGGAAUUAUUGGGCGUAAAGAGCUUGUAGGCGGUUUGUCGCGUCUGCUGUGAAAAUCCGGGGCUCAACCCCGGACUUGCAGUGGGUACGGGCAGGCUAGAGUGUGGUAGGGGAGACUGGAAUUCCUGGUGUAGCGGUGAAAUGCGCAGAUAUCAGGAGGAACACCGGUGGCGAAAGCGCUCGUCUGGCCCAAUACUGACGCUGAUGCGCGAAAGCUAGGGGAGCAAACGGG
rnacentral:rRNA from 1 species